GAGACCUGCCAGUUAUUACUGACACACCAAAAGCAGGGCUUUGAGCUGUGGGUGAUCCAAAAACACAAAUUUAUGAAGAUAGUCCUCCCUAUUGAGAAGCGCCAGCUCAACUAGGCGGAGAAAAGCCCUCAUCAGUGCCACCUGGUGAGAAGUAAAUGGGGAACGAUAGCUCGCCUAGCUGCUGCAAAUGCAUCGCACAGGAGAGGCUCUGAGAUUAUUUACAAGACGCUGAGAAAUGCGCUGAUCCUAUCUCCGAAUCGCCAGAGUCCCUGCACGGGCACAACCAACCCUGCUUGUCACUUGUGGAUCAAAAGUGGGCGGGUGUCUGAGCACAGUUAGACGGAGUGGGAGGGGGACUGACCCAAGUUCCUGCAAGCAGAGAUGCUGAGAUGCUGAACUGGGAGUAGAAGUCUGUUGGGAUGGUAACCUCAGCGGCACCACAGGAAAACGUGGUAAAUGCAAGUAGAGAGGUAAACGGAUUGGGAGAAUUCCCCUCCGCCUUGCUUUGAAGAGUCUAGCUCUCGGUGUGUCACUGUCUCGCCUUUCUUCAGUGGAUUUUUGUGGUCCUCAGCCUUCUAAACUUAGCCACGCCCCCUGGGAGGGUAGAUUGUGAGGCCAGGGACACCCAGCAGUCAUCGUGGCUAUCCUAUUCUUUGAGGACUGGCAGUAAACAUGGUGGCUAUCCUAUUCUUUGAGGACUGGUGGUUGAGAACAAGAGUCUAAUUUUUCAAAUGAGACCAUCUCAUGGGACUUCAACCUCAGACCCUUACCUUGCAGCUCUGCCUGUCAAUCACACACAGUGCCGUCUCCAGGAGCCUGAGCUCUUAGGCCUGAGCAAACAAGGAUUUGAAAGCCUGAGCACUGGUCAAGGAGGAAGAGGAAACUUUUCAUAAACUCCAAGAGAGCAGCCCAUCCUGACCACUUGAGUCACUUGCCCUCAUUUUCCUCUGGCCACACCAUACGUUCAUUGUAUAUUCCUGGUUUGACUUCUGGACAUGGUUUGAGAAAUUAGACAAAGUGAUAAUUCUCUCU